rnacentral:rRNA from 1 species
CAGGAUGAACGCUGGCGGUCUGCUUAACACAUGCAAGUCGAACGCAAGUAGCAAUACUUGAGUGGCGGACGGGUGAGUAACGCGUGAGAAUCUGCCUAAAGGACCGGGACAACCACUGGAAACGGUGGCUAAUACCGGAUGUGCUCUACAGUGAAAGGGGAAACUCGCCUUUAGAGGAGCUCGCGUCUGAUUAGCUAGUUGGUAGGGUAAAAGCCUACCAAGGCGACAAUCAGUAGCUGGUCUGAGAGGAUGAUCAGCCACACUGGGACUGAGACACGGCCCAGACUCCUACGGGAGGCAGCAGUGGGGAAUUUUCCGCAAUGGGCGAAAGCCUGACGGAGCAAGACCGUGUGGGGGAGGAAGGCUCUUGGGUCGUAAACCUCUUUUGUCAGGGAAGAACACAAUGACGGUACCUGACGAAUCAGCCUCGGCUAACUCCGUGCCAGCAGCCGCGGUAAUACGGAGGAGGCAAGCGUUAUCCGGAAUUAUUGGGCGUAAAGCGUCCGUAGGUGGCUCGUCAAGUCUGCGGUCAAAGACCGGGGCUCAACCCUGGAAAGGCCGCGGAAACUGGUGAGCUAGAGUGCGGUAGGGGCAGAGG